rnacentral:tRNA from 1 species
CCUUCGAUAGCUCAGUUGGUAGACCGGUGGACUGUCGUAGAAGUUGUAAUGGUUAUCCAUAGGUCGCUGGUUCGAAUCCUUCUCGAAGGA